AGAACGAACGCUGGCGGCAGGCUUAACACAUGCAAGUCGAGCGCCCCGCAAGGGGAGCGGCAGACGGGUGAGUAACGCGUGGGAACAUACCCUCCGGUUCGGAAUAGCUCAGGGAAACUUGGAUUAAUACCGGAUACGGCCUAGCGGCGAAAGAUUCAUCGCCGGAGGAUUGGCCCGCGUUCGAUUAGCUAGUUGGUGAGGUAACGGCUCACCAAGGCGACGAUCGAUAGCUGGUCUGAGAGGAUGAUCAGCCACAUUGGGACUGAGACACGGCCCAAACUCCUACGGGAGGCAGCAGUGGGGAAUAUUGGACAAUGGGCGCAAGCCUGAUCCAGCCAUGCCGCGUGAGUGAUGAAGGCCCUAGGGUUGUAAAGCUCUUUGUGCGGGAAGAUAAUGACGGUACCGCAAGAAUAAGCCCGGCUAACUCGUGCCAGCAGCCGC
rnacentral:rRNA from 1 species